UCCGGUUGAUCCUGCCGGACCUGACUGCUAUCUGAUUGGUACUAAGCCAUGCGAGUCGUUGUAGCAAUACAAGGCGGACUGCUCAGUAACACGUAGUUAACUUAACCUAUGGAUGGGCAUAACCUCGGGAAACUGAGAAUAAUACCCAAUGGACCACAGUGCCUGGAAUGGCCUGUGGUUGAAAUGAUUUAUCGCCGUAGGAUAGGACUGCGGCCUAUCAGCUUGUUGGUGAGGUAAUGGCCCACCAAGGCUAUAACAGGUACGGGCUCUGAGAGGAGGGGCCCGGAGAUGGGUACUGAGACACGGACCCAGGCCCUAUGGGGCGCAGCAGGCGAGAAACCUUUGCAAUGUGCGAAAGCACGACAAGGUUAAUCCGAGUGUCUCCUGCUAAAGGAGUCUUUUGUCAGUUGUAGAAUCACUGGUGAAUAAGGGGUGGGCAAGUUCUGGUGUCAGCCGCCGCGGUAAAACCAGCACCUCGAGUGGUCAGGAGGUUUAUUGGGCCUAAAGCAUCCGUAGCCGGUUGCAUAAGUUUUCGGUUAAAUCUAUGCGCUUAACGUAUAGGCCGCCGAAAAUACCUGUGCAGCUAGGGAGUGGGAGAGGUCCA
rnacentral:rRNA from 1 species